UCUGACCGCGUGGGAUGACGUCAUAAGACGGUUUUCCGCGCCGAAACCGCGCUAGUGAGAACCAACCUUAAGUGUAUUUUAAAUUGUUUAUAAAAUAUUUUUGCAUGCAUUUUUCAGAUUUUACAUAUAAACAAAGCUGUGAAAUAUUUUAGUCGAAUAUAAACUUUUGAGAUUGGAAAUAACUAAAUUCUUAAUAGUUUAGUAUAUUUUUCCACAAUUAAUUCUUAGAAGUUUAUUUGUUAACAAAAGUUAUAUGAAUUUGAUUUAUAAUUUGCAGUUUUUGUCAGAUUAAAUAUAUACCAUAGAUUACUUUACUUUUUAAAUUAAUUUCCAGGAAUGAAUAUCUAAAUCUGUUAGUUUUAUCACUUCCAGGUUUAUUUGCUUAUGCUUUGAAACAAUGUGUAACUGUUUUUACUUCACAAUUUUAUAAUUCCACUGUCAGAUGAUGGAAUAAGUAGCCAUUUAAGUACAUUAAAACAAGAAUUGUAGAGGUAACUUAGCAUUGAUCAUUUCUGAAUAUACUAUAUUCAGUAUUUUUAUUUUAGAAAUGAGUAAUUAUACUUUUGCUGCCAUUUAAUAAAAUGGAUAUAUUAAAGAUUUUUUUAUAAACUUCAAAGUUGCUAGAUAAUGGAAAAUUUUACUUUAUAAUGUGAAAUUAAUAGUAGCUACUAAAUAUUCAGUAUUGAAAUGAAUAUGCCUAGCAUGAAAUAAGUUAACACUUUUCUCUAAUGAAUAAAUUUAAAUAGUUUAACUGUUCAAUUACAUUUCUAGAAUGUGAAAUUAAGUUAUAUAGCUUGUAUUUAUUAUUUUUGAGAUGUGUUGAAUAUGGUUUUAAAUAAUAGAUCUAUUUAAAUAUUUAUUAAUGUAUUUUUUAUGUUUAGGAUUAUCCAAUAAACUAGUACUUACCUUUUUAUACUAAUUGUGAUAAGUAUUUCACUUUGCAGAAUAUGAAUAAGUAAUGCUACUGUUGAAAAUUUAUCUUUAAAUUUGUUGUACUUUGAGAUUUUACUGUAAAUUGGAAAAUUUAAUUUGCAUUUUUUAAUUGUUGACCAAGUAUUUUUACUUAGUAUUAACAUGGAAAUAUUCUCAAUGUAGAAAUUUUUUCUGCACUUGCCUUUACAAAAAUGCUACAUGUGAAAAAUUUUGUUACAUGCCAAUUUUGGAGAAUAUUUGUGAAUUGAAUGUUGUCUUAAAUGAGAUGUAGGAAUAGAUGGAAUUAUUGUAUAUUUUUUUUACAUCACUAAUUUUUUAUUAAUAUACCCAUAAUUUGUUGUCUAAAUGCAAUGUCUUGCUUAAGAAUAUUUCUAGUACAUAAAAAUGACAACUAAAUUUCGAAGAAAUAUUUAACUUUAACUUUAUAAACAUUUUCUUUUCAGAUUUAAGUUUAAUAAUAAAAAUAAGAAACUUAAGGGCACUGAAUUUUAUUGUAAUUGGAUUUUCUGCAGAAUCAUUGUUGCACAUUACUUAGCUGAAAUUAAUUCAAAGAAAUUACUAAACAAUAUUUUAAUACUAUCAAAGCCAAGAAAUUUUUGUAAAUUAACACUAAUUUAGAAGGUUGUAAAUAUAAUUUAAUUUUGAGAUGUAAUUAUUCUGUGCAAAAUUUUUCUUCUAGAGAAUUGUCCUAAACACGCAUGUGACUUGAGAUUGUUCUUUAUAAGAAAGUCAUUACUUUUGUCUUUUCCAUUGUAAUUUAUUUCAAUAGACCGAUUUAUGUACUGUAAAAUAUAAUAUUAAUAGAAAAAAAUUGUUUGAAUGUUUCAGAUAUUCAGAAUUUUAAUUUUGAAAGACUUGAUUUUGUAUGUACAAUAUUGUAAUUGAAAACAUUUUAUUGCUAAUGUGUUUUUUGCAUACAAAUUUUUUUCUAGUAUCCUGAGAAGUUGGAGGUGAUUUUAAACAAUAACUCAAAUUGCCUACAGGAAUUUUGAAGUUCUAAGGAAGUGAAGUAAUUUAGCUUUUCUCUAAUAAAAAAUUUUAAUACAUGUUACAACAGAAUUAAGUACUGAAUAACUCUAUAUAACAAAUACUUUAUUUUCUAAUACAUUGUGAACUUUAUUUUUUAUAAAUUUGAUUUUCUUUGUAGGUUAAUAAAAUGUGAAUUUUUAUAAAUUGUAGAUAACUAUUAUUAAAGGUUACCAACAGUCAUAAAUUUUUGCAUUAGAUAUUUAUAUGGUCUGAAAAAAUUGAACUUGCUUGGGAAAAAAGCUGUAAAUGUAACAAUUAAGAGAGAGUAUACUUUUCUUUUCUAGCAUAUAUAAAAAUUUAUUUUCAAAUGUUAAUUAUUUUGAGAUGCUUAAAUCAAAUAUUCAAACUAUCAGUAAUCAAACAUUUGCAUUUUUUUAAAAUUUACAAAAUCAAAAACAUUACCUCCUUAUCAAAUAUUUGAUCAGUCUGCUUUCUACUUGACCAAAAUGUGUUUUAAAUUCAUAUGUAAGGUUGAAAAACUUUGUUUUUUAUAGGAAAUAAGUUAAAACUUCUAAAAGUAAAGUGUGUGAAAAUUGAAAUGGCUUGAAUGGAAGUUCUUCAAAUAAACAUUGAAUCAUUUGAGACUGCAGGGAGUAUUUUUUUUAUAAAAUCAGUAAUUGAUAUAAUUAUAGAAAAUCAGUAUAAAUGCAAAUUCUUUUUAAUAAAUUUUUAUUGCAAUUUCCAGAUUUGUUUGCUGUAUUUCGUCUUAUGUUUUAUAGGAAAUUAUACUAAACCAUCUUGUACUUUGUAUUGGAAAAUUACAGAAUAGCUUGCUGCAAUACAUAAAUUAUCAAAUGGCACUGUGUGUAAUUAUCCUUUUUUGUUAAGAAUUAAUAUUGAUUACAGUAUUAUUUUAUUCAAAUUUGUAGGAUAUUAAAGAUGUUAAUGAAAUGUAGAAAGUUGAUAUGAAAUGGAUUAGUUAAAUACAUACUAAUUUUAAUCUGAAAUCAGUUAUUAGAAUGUAAGUUUUGCUUUCAAAAUUUGAGAGAGGUGUGUAGUUGAAUUAUUAUUUAAAAUCAUUAACUUAUGAUAUGAUAUAACUGGAUACAUUUAUUUAUGUAGAUAUGUUUUUAUAGCAACUUGUAGAUUAUUAUUCUUCAGCAAAGUAUUGUGGUAUUUUUAUAAACAUUAUUAAAUAAAAUGUAUACCCAAAUAUAUUUAUUUUGAUUUUAAAAUCACAAAGUAUAUUUCUCUAUAGUUAAUUUCAUAUAGAAAAUUAGAAAGGAAGACUAAAUUAUUCCCAUAGUCUCAGGAUCAAAGAAGUAAGAGUUUUUGGUUUGAUAAACACUAUUUUUUAUGCAAUUCUUUUAACAAAAUAUUUUCAUCUUUUCAACAUUUCUUAAAUGAUUAUUUGGUACUAGGAUAUUUUUUCAGAUGGAUGUACUGUUUGUUGAAACGAAAAUCUGGGAAUUAUAAUUAAUCUUUUGAAACCUAAAGCUUUAGCAACUUUUAUUUCAGAUAAAUUUCAUUAGUUUGCCAAUUCAAAAAUUAAAUGAUUUACAGAAUAAAGCAGUGUCAUAAUUUUCAAGUAAUGGGUACUAAAUAUUUCUAUUUUAACGUUUGCAUAUAAAAAUUGUUUUUAGUUAAUAUAAAUGAAAUGAAUUUUUUAUUGACUUAAUAUUUCUUAAUUUUAAAAAUAAGUUUGAUUUUAGGUUUUCAUUAUGGAAUCAGAAAAUAUUUGAAUGUUUAGCUAAGUAUGGUAUAUAAUAUCUAAUUUUUAUUAAUUAAUGAAAUAAAAUUUAUAAAAUUUGAUUGCCAAUGAAAUUUGAUUUUUUUUUUAAUAGCCUAAAAUUGUUAGCUCAAAUUUUGAUUGUUUUGAAUGUUUAUUCAGAUUAGUUAUUGGAGACAGCAGUGUUUAUAAUUAUAAAGUAAUGAGUAUUACUUGUGCAAACAGUACUGAAAGGUAGCAAUCAGCAAAUUUCUGAAUCAUUUUGCAAGAAUUAUGUAACUAUAUAUUAACUAAUUUACUGUAUUAAAGUGUAUAAUUAGUGUUCUCCCAAACACAAUUACUAUUUUUUGAUUUCUGUGUAGGUUGACUGACUUGAGCAAAAAUUUAGAUGUGGUUUCAGAGAUCUAAAAUGAAAAAAUGUGUACUAUUAUGAGUGUCAUUGGAAUGCAGAGAAUACCUUUUGUUUUCUACUUUAUCACUGUUGUCAUUAGAACUGUGAUUUAUGGUGUUAAUUCAUAAUUUAGCAAUUAAUGAAGAUUCUAUUGAGUUUAAAGUAUUUGAUCUUGAAUACAAAGAUAAUUUUGAUACUUCAAAACAAAUGGAAUGCUGUUUGCAGGGAGUAGAACAUUUUUUUAAUAUUUCCUUUAGUAGUGUUCAACUUUUGCUCAUAUUAGAUAUAUUAAGUGAUUUGAAGAUUGCAUGUAAUUGAAAACAAAAUAUAUGAAACAUUAUAAUAGCUAAAUCUAAAGUUGAACACUUGGUUUAUAAUAUACUUUUAUACAAACCAAAUGUUGAACUUAGUUAAUUUUUUAUAUUCUUUUAAUUAUAGAUUUGUUUGUUAACAUAAUUUUUGGAAAUCAUAUUUGCAUAAGUGACCUUGAAAAUUUCUUUUUAAAUCUGCAUGUUUUUGAUAUAUUAAGGGGAAAACAUUUCCGUUAUUUUUAUUCUUAUUUCAAAUGGACUAAAUGGUUUUCAAGACUCAAUUUUGUUUGUUUCCGUCUAAAUAUUAACACAAGAAUUUGAAUUAUUGCAUGCUAUAAAUUCACUUUACUAUCAUUUAUUGCUACUGAUUUUAGAUGUAUGCAAAUUAUUGAUUUAAUGAUUGAUCAAAGUGCAUGAUUUUUUCCUCCAAUUAUUGUAAUGAUUUGUUAAAGCAUAUUCAAUUUUGACCUGUUUAUAAGAAAAAAAUUUUUAUAAUAAUGAAAAAUUACUUUAUAAAAUUUUCUUGUUUGAAUAUUUUAGUGUAAAAGAUAUUCAACUGUUUUGAAUUUAAUUUUUUAUGUGAAUUUUGAUUUUCAGAAUGUCCUACUAUGAAGAUUGCAAUUGUAGAGCAUGUGAUUAUCUGUAAAAAUGAUUUCUACUUGAAAUAUUUAUGCUCAAAUUGUGAAAUGUUUUGAAUCUCCAAAUAUGUUAAGAUGAAUAUAUGUAGUCUGUUUUUAAGGUUUUGUGGACUAAGUUUUCACUUUUAUGUACUGUUUUCACUUGUUUGAUCAAAUUCAAUAUAUUAAUAAAAGCUCAAAAUAUGCAAUAUAUGCCAAUUUUUAAAGUUCGAUUUUUUAAUUUUCUUUUUACAUCUGCAGAACCAAAAUGCAUGUACUGUAAAAUUUGAAUUUCUUGUCAAAGCUAUUUUAAAUCCAAAUAUAAAUUGUUUGACACAAGUGUGACACGUAUACAUACAUAAUUGAUAUACAGAUAGUCUGACUUAAAAUGAGUUAAAGCUGUGGGGUUCAUUUUUGAAGUCAUAAUGCUAAAAAUUUGACUUUCACUAUUAAUGUUUAUUAAAAUAGUGUCCUAAUAAAGAACACAAGUACUGGAGGAAGGGUUUGAGCUUUUUUAUCAAAAUUAUUGGGUCAGACUCAAACCCAUUGAAUUGCACUGUCCGUUUGCAAAAUUUAUUAAAUCUCCAUUCUAAGUCAAGGACUAUAUUUUUUUCUAAUAACACUUCAUUGUCUUAAAAUUCUAAAUAAUAAGUGAAUGAUUUAUUAUUUGGAAUUUGGGAUAAAUGAUUACUUAACUUAUUUUUAUGCAGAAUUUUAUAUUGUUAAUUUCAGGUAUGAAAUUUGAAGUGAAUAAGGAAUAUUUGCUAAAUCAAAGUUAUAUCUUAAAGAUUUAAGAGCAUUUUGAUCUAGCAAAUCGACUUUAUAAUUAAUAUGAAAACUAUUUUAUUCCAUAGGUGUUUAAAGCUUCUUUUUCCACAAGCUUGUUAUCAUGACUGUUACUUUUAAUUUUUUAGAUGCAAUGGAAAAUUAAGUUUUUCAGGAUGUUAAAUGCUUAAAAUUUGUAAUUUUAAUGAAAUUAGUUGAUAAAUUAUUAAAUAUUUUCAUGUUUUAAUUCUGUUUAAAUCAUUCUUGUGAAAAUGGGCAUUUGUAAAUCUAACAAUGUGUGUCGAUUUUAAAAUCGUAAUUUUGAAAUGAAUUUCUGCUUUGAUUAUAAAAGGAAGUUUUUGAAUUUUUUUAUAUUUCAUUGAUGAAUGAAUUAAUUUUACACUAAUAUAGUGAAUAAACUUUAUGCCUUAAUAUACUGAAUAAUGUAUUUUGUAAUAUUCAUUGCUAAAUAUCGGUGAAGAAAAUGUGUUAAUCUUUGUUUUAUAUUAUGAACAUGUUAACUAAAAAUUGCUAAUGUUGGAAAGAAUUAGUCAAAUUUUAGCUAUCGAGUUUGUAAUUUGUAAUGUUACUAAGAUGUUAAAAAUAUUCAGUUUAUCACAAUUUAACCCAGUUUAUAAGUUAACUGCCUUUAAUUAUGUAAACAUAAAAGUAGUUAUGUAAGUACAUGUCUGAAUAUAUAUGUAUAAUGACAUAAGACAAGACAUAUUUCAAAUGUCUUAAAGGUAAUGUAAAAAUUUUUAAUUUUGAAAUCUAAUUUUUAAAAAAAGUUCAAAAAUUCUAUAAACUAUUUUAUGAAUUCAUUUAAAUUUUAUUGCAAACAUGUUGGAAAGGUUACAAACAGGAUUUGAAAUUGUUGAAUAUUUAAGAUAUUUUUACAGAAGAAUCUGGAAAAUAAAAGCAAGUAAUUUUAAAAUUUAUUAAUUUUUAAUUAUAUGAAAUUGCAAAAUUAUCAUUUUGAUAGCUGAAAUCUGGCUCGUCAAACUACUCUUCUUGAGGUUCACUCUUCAAAAUUGAAAUUUUCAGGGAGUAAAAAAAAUAUAAAUUACUGAAAUUUCUUGUGAUAUUUUUCAGUCCGCAAUAAAAUUAAUUCAUUAUUUUUGUGUAUAGGUAUGAUUGUUCCUGUUUGAAAAGUUAGGUACUUUUUGAGGUAGAAAUUAUCAAGUGAAGAGGGCUUGCUUCAAUUCCAAUUUUUAGAAAAAUUGGACAGUUAAAUAUUUGCAGUUUUCAAGAAAGUUGGAUUUAAAUAAAACAAUAUGGUUCAUUUAUUAACUGUACUACUAUAAAGAUUUAAAAAUUUAUUCUUGAAGACAGGAAAUUCGAAUGUAAGCAGAAAACUGCCAUAUUAUGUAAGACAGAGUAUAUAUCAAUUUUGUACCAGUGUUUCUCCAACUUAUUGUAUCUGGUGAACCUCUAAGAAAUCUUUUGUGUUGGGAAAUGAUUACAAUCUAAUACGUAGUGGAAUGUUUACCAGAACUCUAGUUUGAGAAGCACUGGUUUCUUUUGUUUUUAGUUCUACAUUUCAAGAUACAGAAAAAGGAUGCAGCAAUUUAUUAUAACUCUUCAAAUUGAUGGCUUAAAAUGAAAGCGGAUAACAUUUAGAUCCAGUAGAAAUGGAUAGAGAAUAGCAUCAAAUUUGAAGCUUGCUCAUCUGUUUAAUGCCCCGAGUCUGUCUUUUCAUUGUUGGGAAAAUAGCUGAAAUUACCACUGUGUAGUUUUGUGCUUGGUUUGUGAUUCACUAUCAGUAUGGUUUGGUGAUUUGUAAUUUGCAUAUUCCUCACACGAUGAACCGAAGACAAAAAUAUUAGAUUGACAAGUUUUACUAGCGUAUCUUUCGUAGAAUGUAUAAAUGUGACUUCAGUUUGGUACGAUAGUGAAAAGAAGACUACAGUUCACUUUGGAUUUUGAAGAAAUGAAACGAUUUGGUUUAGUUCAAUAAAAUUUGUGGUUUUUAAAGCUACUUCCCCGAGCAAUUUCGACGGAAGAACAUUUUUUAAUUGUAAAUGGAAUAGCAUUUGUUUAAUAUGACAAUAAAUAUACGAAGUUUGAAUACAUGGAGUUAAAUACCACUUGUAAAAAUAUAAAUUAGUUAAUGAAAUUUAUGUAUUUAAUAAAAUUUCAGAUUUUAAUGGUAGUCUUAGUGCAAAUCGUGUCUUUAUUCUAGUA
rnacentral:lncRNA from 1 species